UAGGGAAUCUUCCGCAAUGGGCGAAAGCCUGACGGAGCAACGCCGCGUGAGUGAAGAAGGAUUUCGGUUCGUAAAGCUCUGUUGUUAGGGAAGAAUGAUUGUGUAGUAACUAUACACAGUAGAGACGGUACCUAACCAGAAAGCCACGGCUAACUACGUGCCAGCAGCCGCGGUAAUACGUAGGUGGCAAGCGUUGUCCGGAAUUAUUGGGCGUAAAGCGCGCGCAGGUGGUUUAAUAAGUCUGAUGUGAAAGCCCACGGCUCAACCGUGGAGGGUCAUUGGAAACUGUUAAACUUGAGUGCAGGAGAGAAAAGUGGAAUUCCUAGUGUAGCGGUGAAAUGCGUAGAGAUUAGGAGGAACACCAGUGGCGAAGGCGGCUUUUUGGCCUGUAACUGACACUGAGGCGCGAAAGCGUGGGGAGCAAACAGGAUUAGAUACCCUGGUAGUCCACGCCGUAAACGAUGAGUGCUAAGUGUUGGUCUCAUAAGAGAUCAGUGCUGCAGCUAACGCAUUAAGCACUCCGCCUGGGGAGUACGACCGCGNAGGUUG
rnacentral:rRNA from 1 species